CGUCAAGUCCUCAUGGCCCUUAUGCCCAGAGCUACACACGUGCUACAAUGGGCUGUACAAAGGGUUGCAACCCCGCGAGGGUGAGCUAAUCCCAAAAAGCAGUCCUAAGUUCGGAUUGGAGUCUGCAACUCGACUCCAUGAAGUUGGAAUCGCUAGUAAUCGCAGAUCAGCAUGCUGCGGUGAAUACGUUCCCGGGCCUU
rnacentral:rRNA from 1 species